GGGGAUAUAGCUUAGUGGAAGAGCACUUGCCUAGCAUCCUACCGGGUGCAAGGCCCUGGGGUUCAAUCCCCAGUACCACCA
rnacentral:tRNA from 1 species